rnacentral:rRNA from 1 species
GACGAACGCUGGCGGCGUGCUUAACACAUGCAAGUCGAACGGAAAGGCCCUGCUUUUGUGGGGUGCUCGAGUGGCGAACGGGUGAGUAACACGUGAGUAACCUGCCCUUGACUUUGGGAUAACUUCAGGAGACUGGGGCUAAUACCGGAUAGGAGCUCCUGCUGCAUGGUGGGGGUUGGAAAGUUUCGGCGGUUGGGGAUGGACUCGCGGCUUAUCAGCUUGUUGGUGGGGUAGUGGCUUACCAAGGCUUUGACGGGUAGCCGGCCUGAGAGGGUGACCGGCCACAUUGGGACUGAGAUACGGCCCAGACUCCUACGGGAGGCAGCAGUGGGGAAUAUUGCACAAUGGGCGGAAGCAUGAUGCAGCAACGCCGCGUGCGGGAUGACGGCCUUCGGGUUGUAAACCGCUUUCGCCUGUGACGAAGCGUGAGUGACGGUAAUGGGGAAAGAAGCACCGGCUAACUACGU